rnacentral:rRNA from 1 species
GGGGCCCGCACAAGCGGUGGAUGAUGUGGUUUAAUUCGAUGCAACGCGAAAAACCUUACCUACCCUUGACAUGUGCGGAACCCUGCAGAAAUGCAGGGGUGCCCGAAAGGGAACCGCAACACAGGUGCUGCAUGGCUGUCGUCAGCUCGUGUCGUGAGAUGUUGGGUUAAGUCCCGCAACGAGCGCAACCCUUGCCAUUAGUUGCUACAUUCAGUUGAGCACUCUAAUGGGACUGCCGGUGACAAACCGGAGGAAGGUGGGGAUGACGUCAAGUCCUCAUGGCCCUUAUGGGUAGGGCUACACACGUCAUACAAUGGCGCGUACAGAGGGUUGCCAACCCGCGAGGGGGAGCCAAUCCCAGAAAGCGCGUCGUANUCCGGAUUGGAGUCUGCAACUCGACUCCAUGAAUCGGAAUCGCUAGUAAUCGCAGAUCANCAUGCUGCGGUGAAUACUUCCCCGGCCUUGUACACACCGCCCGUCACACCAUGGGAAUUGGGGUUCACCAAAACCAGGUUGCCUAACC